rnacentral:rRNA from 1 species
UACAGAGGUCUCAAGCGUUGUUCGGAUUCAUUGGGCGUAAAGGGUGCGUAGGCGGCGCGGUAAGUCGGGUGUGAAAUCUCGGAGCUUAACUCCGAAACUGCAUUCGAUACUGCCGUGCUUGAGGACUGGAGAGGAGACUGGAAUUUACGGUGUAGCGGUGAAAUGCGUAGAUAUCGAUAAGGAACACCGGUGGCGAAAGCGGCUCACUGGAUCUCUUCUGACGCUGAGGCACGAAAGCUAGGGUAGCGAACGGG